rnacentral:rRNA from 1 species
UACGUAGGGUCCAAGCGUUAAUCGGAAUUACUGGGCGUAAAGCGUGCGCAGGCGGUUGUGUAAGCCAGAUGUGAAAUCCCCGGGCUUAACCUGGGAAUGGCAUUUGGGACUGCACGGCUAGAGUACGGCAGAGGAGACUAGAAUUCCUGGUGUAGCAGUGAAAUGCGUAGAUAUCAGGAGGAAUACCGGUGGCGAAGGCGGCAUCCUGGACCGGCAUUGACGCUGAUGAGCGAAAGCUAGGGGAGCAAACGGG